rnacentral:rRNA from 1 species
AGAGUUGUAUCCUGGCUCAGGAUGAACGCUGGCGGCGUGCCUAACACAUGCAAGUCGAACGGAGUUUAUGAAGUUUUCGGACGGAUUAAACUUAGUGGCGGACGGGUGAGUAACGCGUGGGUAACCUGCCUCAUACAGGGGGAUAACAGUUGGAAACGACUGCUAAAACCGCAUAAGCAUACACUAUCGCAUGGUAGAGUGUGAAAAUAUUUAUAGGUAUGAGAUGGGCCCGCGUCUGAUUAGCUAGUUGGUAAGGUAACGGCUUACCAAGGCGACGAUCAGUAGCCGGCUUGAGAGAGUGACCGGCCACAUUGGGACUGAGACACGGCCCAAACUCCUACGGGAGGCAGCAGUGGGGAAUAUUGCACAAUGGGCGAAAGCCUGAUGCAGCGACGCCGCGUGAGUGAAGAAGUAUUUCGGUAUGUAAAGCUCUAUCAGCAGGGAAGAAAAUGACGGUACCUGACUAAGAAGCCCCGGCUAACUACGUGCCAGCAGCCGCGGUAAUACGUAGGGGGCAAGCGUUAUCCGGAUUUACUGGGUGUAAAGGGAGCGUAGGGUGG